rnacentral:rRNA from 1 species
UGUUCAUUGGCUGCAGCUUCUUAGAGGGACGUGCGUUCUAUUAGACGCAGGAAGAUAGGGGCAAUAACAGGUCUGUGAUGCCCUUAGAUGUCCUGGGCCGCACGCGCGUUACACUGAUGCACUCAACGAGUCUACCUUGGCCGAGAGGCCUGGGAAAUCUUGUUAACAUGCAUCGUGAUAGGGAUAGAUUAUUGCAAUUAUUAAUCUUGAACGAGGAAUUCCUAGUAAACGCAGAUCAUCAAUCUGCAUUGAUUACGUCCCUGCCCUUUGUACACACCGCCCGUCGCACCUACCGAUUGAAUGGUCCGGUGAAGCCUCGGGAUUGCGAUGAGUUUCCUUCAUUGGGAGUUUGUCGCGAGAACUUGUCUAAACCUUAUCAUUUAGAGGAAGGUGAAGUCGUAACAAGGUUUCC